rnacentral:misc_RNA from 1 species
GAUGAAGAACGUAGCAAAAUGCGAUAAGUAAUGUGAAUUGCAGAAUUCAGUGAAUCAUCGAAUCUUUGAACGCACAUUGCGCCCGCUGGUAUUCCGGCGGGCAUACCUGUUCGAGCGUCAUUUCAACCCUCAAGCCCCCCGGGUUUGGUGUUGGGGAUCGGCUCUGCCUCACGGCGGUGCCGCCCCCGAAAUACAUUGGCGGUCUCGCUGCAGCCUCCAUUGCGUAGUAGCUAACACCUCGCAACUGGAACGCGGCGCGGCCAUGCCGUAAAACCCCAACUUCUGAAUGUUGACCUCGGAUCAGGUAGGAAUACCCGCUGAACUUAAGCAUAUCAAUAAGCGGAGGA